UACGUAGGUGGCAAGCGUUACUCGGAAUCACUAGGCGUAAAGCGCGGGUAGGCGGUUUGGUAAGUCUGUUGUGAAAGCUCCUGGCUUAACUGGGAGAGGUCAACGGAAACUACCAGGCUCGAGUGCGGUAGAGGAAACUGGAAUUCCUGGUGUAGCGGUGAAAUGCGUAGAUAUCAGGAGGAACACCUAUGGCGAAAGCAGGUUUCUGGACCGUCACUGACGCUGAUCCGCGAAAGCUAGGGGAGCAAACAGG
rnacentral:rRNA from 1 species